UAUCCGCCAGGGUACUACGAGCAUAGCUUAAAACCCAAAGGACUUGGCGGUGUCUCAGAUCCACCUAGAGGAGCCUGUUCUAGAACCGAUAACCCCCGUUAAACCUCACCACUUCUUGUUAAUCCCGCCUAUAUACCGCCGUCGCCAGCUUACCCUAUGAAGGUGAAAUAGUAAGCAAAAUGGACAAACCCCAAAACGUCAGGUCGAGGUGUAGCGCACGAAGUGGGAAGAAAUGGGCUACAUUUUCUAUUACAGAAAAUCACGAAUGGUUUACUGAAACACAUACCUGAAGGAGGAUUUAGUAGUAAAAGCAAAUAGAG
rnacentral:rRNA from 1 species